AUUGAACGCUGGCGGCAGGCCUAACACAUGCAAGUCGAGCGGAGCGGCGGACGGGUGAGUAAUGCCUAGGAAGCUACCUGGUAGUUGGGGAUAACGUACGGAAAGGGGCGCUAAUACAGCAUACUAUCAGAUGAGCCUAGGUCGGAUUAGCUAGUUGGUUGGGUAAAGGCCUACCAAGGCGACGAUCCGUAACUGGUCUGAGAGGAUGAUCAGUCACACUGGAACUGAGACACGGCCCAGACUCCUACGGGAGGCAGCAGUGGGGAAUAUUGGACAAUGGGCGAAAGCCUGAUCCAGCCAUGCCGCGUGUGUGAAGAAGGCCUUCGGGUUGUAAAGCACUUUCAGCGGGGAGGCGUUACCCGCAGAAGAAGCACCGGCUAACUCCGUGCCAGCAGCCGCGGUAAUUC
rnacentral:rRNA from 1 species